rnacentral:rRNA from 1 species
AUACGGAGGGUGCAAGCGUUACUCGGAAUCACUGGGCGUAAAGCGCGCGCAGGCGGCUAUUUAAGUUGGAUGUGAAAGCCUACGGCUCAACCGUAGAACUGCAUCCAAAACUAUUUAGCUAGAGUGUGGGAGAGGAAGAUGGAAUUAGUUGUGUAGGGGUAAAAUCCGUAGAGAUAACUAGGAAUACCAAAAGCGAAGGCAAUCUUCUGGAACACUACUGACGCUGAGGCGCGAAAGCGUGGGGAGCAAACAGUAUUAGAUACCCCAGUAGUCC